rnacentral:rRNA from 1 species
GUUUGAUUCUGGCUCAGAACGAACGCUGGCGGCGUGGAUAAGACAUGCAAGUCGAACGCUGAUUAUCGGGUAGCAAUAUUCGGUGGUUGGAGUGGCGCAAGGGUGCUUAACACGUGGGCAAUUUGCCGUGAAGUUUGGGAUAACCCCGAGAAAUCGGGGCUAAUACCGGAUGUGACUUUUGGUGGGCAUCCACUGGAUUUCAAAAGUUGGGGACCGCAAGGCCUGACGCUUUACGAUAAGCCCGCGGCCUAUCAGCUAGUUGGUGAGGUAACGGCUCACCAAGGCUAGGACGGUAGCUGGUCUGAGAGGACGACCAGCCACACUGGAACUGAGACACGGUCCAGACACCUACGGGUGGCAGCAGUCGAGAAUUUUUCUCAAUGGGGGAAACCCUGAAGGAGCGACGCCGCGUGGGGGAUGAAUGGCUUCGGCCCGUAAACCCCUGUCAUUCGGGACCAAAUGUUGUCCAUGAACAAUGGGCAGCUUGAUUGUACCGGAAGUAGGAAGGGACGG